rnacentral:ncRNA from 1 species
ACAGAGUCCAGCUAGCUAGCUAGCCAGCUAGCCAGCCAGCUAGCUAGCUAGCUAGCCAGUUAGCUAGCUAGCUAGCUAGCUAGUUAGCUAGCUGUCCCGUGUCUUAUCUAUUAAGGCAGCAGUGCAGCCUUUGUGCUGCAGCGGCUAGCUGCGCAGCUAGCUGGCUAGCCACUCCAGCUAGCUAGCUAGU